rnacentral:rRNA from 1 species
GAUGAACGCUGGCGGCGUGCCUAAUACAUGCAAGUCGAGCGAACGGACGAGAAGCUUGCUUCUCUGAUGUUAGCGGCGGACGGGUGAGUAACACGUGGAUAACCUACCUAUAAGACUGGGAUAACUUCGGGAAACCGGAGCUAAUACCGGAUAAUAUUUUGAACCGCAUGGUUCAAAAGUGAAAGACGGUCUUGCUGUCACUUAUAGAUAGAUCCGCGCUGCAUUAGCUAGUUGGUAAGGUAACGGCUUACCAAGGCAACGAUGCAUAGCCGACCUGAGAGGGUGAUCGGCCACACUGGAACUGAGACGCGGUCCAGACUCCUACGGGAGGCAGCAGUAGGGAAUCUUCCGCAAUGGGCGAAAGCCUGACGGAGCAACGCCGCGUGAGUGAUGAAGGUCUUCGGAUCGUAAAACUCUGUUAUUAGGGAAGAACAUAUGUGUAAGUAACUGUGCACAUCUUGACGGUACCUAAUCAGAAAGCCACGGCUAACUACGUG